CCGCUAUUUAAAGGGCACUGCUAUCAUUAGUUCAAACCUGUUCCCUCUUGUUGAGCCACAGCUACAGAGCUAUUUAAGCACCGAGAGAGAAGAAAAACUGAACAUUUGAAGCUUUUUUCCCCUCCUCUGAGGCACUAUCGCUGUGAAAAUGACUGGUCACGAUCUUGAUCUCGUCGAUCUCUGCGCACAUGAGCUCCGCGAAGUUGGAGACAAACUCUACUGGAGAUUCAAACUGCUGGAAAUACUGAUCAAGAACUACAAGACUGUCACUAAGAUCAAGUGAGACACGACGUCAAUGUACAGAAAGAGGAAAUGGAAUUUUCUGAAAAUUGAAGUCACCCGGAGCCUUUAAGUCUCUCAUACGGACUCACCACCAGUGUAAAAAUGGUGGCUCUCACAUGGGAUGUAAAAGCUUGUGGAAACAGCCCUAUGGAGAGGUUGGAUGUGGACUGUCAGAGGACUGCUGCCAUAUUCAAGACCGGGGCUCUGAGGAGAAAAGCCACAUGUGCUUGAUGCUGUUGAUCCACUGAUUCAGAGCCAUGGGUGACUGGAACCAAAGAGGAGCAUCUGGAUGGAAGCUGUCUGCUGUAAAAUGCUGAUUGUCACAUGUAUUCUGUACAUACUACUCUAUAUGUGGACAUGUAUGCAUGUUAAGCUCUAUAAGCCUGUCAACUGAUGUAGACUGGAGAUUUUUAAGACUUAGGGAAGAAUUAAGUCUUAGCGCAUUUACACUAAAAAUUGUCUUUCUACAUGUCUUUUCAAGGAUAAUCAUGAAAUGUUAAUAAAAUAUCCGCAUUUAAUAAGGCUAAUAU